UAUCGAACUGAUCGACUUUGAUGUUUGACUUAAAGUGGAGCUUUCUUCCUGAUGGAAUCAUAAUUGCUCUUUUUUUCCUGUGUCAAUUGAGAAAAAAAUAAAUUGCCAGUACGUUUGAUAUUUUCUAGAAUAUUAUGAAUUAUUACAGAACGCUGAUUCCCUUUUCCAAUUUGAAUUGCUUGAAUGACUCCAUUUAUGCUUCUAUUUUAAUUAACAUCUCUAUGCCACCUAAAAGAAUUUCUUAUUUUCUUGGUCGUGUACAGAAAAAACAUUUUUGAUCCCUUGGUUGUUAUGAAAUAUGAAAAUGGUUGAAGUGGAUCUAGGUAACAAAGAAUUUGCCGGGCAAGAAUAUUGUCCUUGCAGCUUGUGAAGGAUAUGAAUUGAUAUACCCAAUAAUAGGUGGAUUCUCGCAAGAUCUAGACCUCAUAAUGUAUCCAUGCACAUAAGUUAGUAAAUCCAUGAAACCCAUAUACUUGCUAAAUUUUGCAUACAUUUUUUGGUUUGGAAAGAAAAAAACACGUAACCUUUUCAAAAAAGAAAAAGAAAAAAGAUGCUUUUAAAGCUAUCCCCCACGGACCAAGGGGAUCCAUCCAGAGGCCAGAUCUGACUACUGCUCAUACUUUGCACUGAUUUCAAAUAUUCCGUCAAGCUGUCAAAAUUAGAAAAAAACCCUCAUAAAAUGAUUGCUCUGAACAGGUGAGAGCAGAGUAAGAGUCCAUUUCCAUCAGGGGAAAGAGGACUUCCCUGUGUCAGGGAAAAAUGGACACAGGACCUGUUCCCAGCGCACAAAUUUAACCUAAAAAUCUUUUAUCUCUGCUACACUGUUCUUCUUUGAUACACGUGACAUUUUUCCAGCACUACUACAUCUUCUUCACUGAGGAGUUGUGUAGGCUUUUUGUACUGCACACAUUAUGCUCCCCCACCACCCACCCACACACACACACACACAAAAUAAACCCCGACGGGAAUGGCUACAUGGUUGUACUGAGCAUUUCUAAUUGGACCAGAAUUUAUGUCCAUUAAAUCCUGACAUGAAUGUUACAUGGUUUUACUGACCAUUUCUAAUUUGAAGGUUGUGGGUACACAUGUACUGGAUGGGAUGUGGCAAUCCCCCACAUAAUGCAAAUCACUAAAGGUUAUCUGAAUGCUGAGAAUUAAGGAUAAUUGAUAGGGUGUAUAUUAAACAAGAUUGCAGCUGUAAAUUAUGGAAUGAUAGAUGAUUGAUUGCAGUAAGCAUAGAGAUUGUGCAAAGUCAAAACUUUCUAUUUCUAGGAUUGUCUAAUUCCUUGAUUGUUGUACAUUCUAGAUGGUAAGAUUGUAGAUCUUUUGUCUAUAUAUUUCUGUACAGCAGAUUAGUCCAUAUGAAUGAAAUCAUUCUUUCGUCCAAAAAUACUUUUUGUUUAUGGUAUCAGAGCCAGCAGCACAACUGGUUUGAUUUCCUCCCGUCUGGUUAAGGCGUCUACACUUAUUGGUUCCCUUUUCUUAUGGAGGACAACACCACCUCCUAUGGCAACCCCUCUACCAAUUCUUUGAUCUCUAUAUUCCAUCUCAACCCACUUCUUCCAUCCCCUCGAAUCUUGAUUUCCAUUCCCUUGAAAUCCAACCAACACAGAUUGAAUGGGAUUAAUUUUUGGGAAUGGUUUCAAUCAAUAUUGCUGGUUAUGAGGGCAAAGGAAAGGUAGGUUAUCUCGAUGGUUCACUUCCCAUACCUCCAACAACAACACCUCACUACUCAUCUUGGGAUGCCGAGAAUUCGAUUGUGACAGCAUGGUUCAUCACUUCCAUGGAGCCAAAGAUAGUAAGAACAGACCUAUUUUACAAAAUUGCAAUGGAUAUGUGGACUGCUAUGGAAGAAAUUUAUUUAGACCUAGAAAACACCUCACAAUGCUUUGAGAUUCGAUCUACAAUCAGGACUACUUGACAAGGUACUAUGUCAGUUACGGAAUACUACAAUGUUUUAGCUGAAUUGUGGCAGGAAAUAGAUUUGUUUUAUGACAAACUGGCACUGUUGUGAGGAUGGUGCCAAAUAUGCCAAGAUGCUUUAGAAGGAGCAAGUGUUUAACUUCUUUCAUGGACUCAACAGGGACAUAGAUGAUGUACGCAGCCGGCUCCUAGGCUCUAAAUCCUUUCCUUCUAUUCGUGAGGCCUUUGCUGAAACUAGAAGAGAGGAAAGUUACAAGAAGGAAGUGAUUUGGCUAAAGGAUCUUGACGAUUUGCGUUAUUUUCGAGGUUGGCACGUAAAUUGAGGCGAUACGCGUUUUUUGAGGUAUUCCGAACUUCGUGUUAAAGGGUUUAAGAGUACGAGCCGGGAUCGCUGCUCUACCAAGGGUGCACCCAUAUAUCUCGGUCUGGAAAAGAGGCUGUAAAAAAUGGGGAGUAGCAAUAAGGUACUGUCCGCUCAAACCGAAAUGAAAUGGAAAAGAACAAUUUGAAUACAUGCACGAAAUAUGUUUUGUACCCUUACUUAGAUGAUUCAUCUAACUUGGGUUUUGCCCCUAGAAUAUUCAAAUGUCCAGAUGGAGUUGUAGCAAAUACGAGGAUGAUUGAGGCAUGAAAUGACACUUAGCAAAGUGUAUGAUGAAUUGUAUGUAUGUUAUGUAGUCCUAAGUUCUGCUAUUUCGAAUUCCGAACGUUUGAGGAAUGAUGAUGUAUAACCUUAUUUAUGAUUAUUGAGGAUAUAAGAAUUGGUUUAUGAUUAAUGUUAAGAUGUUAGGUUCGAUUCUAGCUUCCGCAUUUAAUGUGUAUGAUGAUUCUCUUUUGAGAUAGAUGUAUGAAAAUUUUGAGAUGGAUAUGAGGAAUGAUAUGGGUUAGUAUUAGUUUUAAAUAGAAAAAAAAGAUUAUUAUAACAUGCUCGAGAAAGUGGGGUGUUACAGUUGGGAGUAACUCACAACACUCCACUGAUUAUUCCAACUCAACUAGCUCACUACCAAACUCAAAAACACACCGCUACUUGACACAUAUAAACUGAUAACACACAUAACAAGAAAACAUAAGGAUUUAUCCCGAUUCGGUCUUGGAAACAAGACCUACAUCCGGACUACUAGGCACCUCUACAAUCCACUAUCUUGAAACAUCCAUAGGAUGAUUACAAUGAGAAUUGGAAUCGCCCUCGCCCAUAUACACUGAAAGCUAUUAGGAUCCUAGAGAAUAUAAGCUAUUAACCAGCCACUCUCUACCUCUCACACUCAAUCCCAGAAUACAAGACAGGAUCCAUAAACUAUCCUUACCAGAUAUCGGCACACUAAGCUCUACCCUUAGCCCUAUCCCACGACCCCUAUUUAUAAGAUAUAGGAGAGUGGGUUACAAGGUAUAAUGGACUGCCCAACUGAUCGAACUAACUUAAUUGCUCAGCUGCCCCUUCUAGAAGAGAGAUUAAUUCUAACCCUACAACAGAAAUGAACCAUGCAACAAUACAAUAAUACUUGUUUACAUUUAAUCUAAUCUAAUACAAAUAAGACAACAAUAAACUUGCGAAUUGGAAGUCAAAAAAUCAGAGAGACCAAUUUAAGAUGGUCUAUGCUAUUGAAUCCUUAUCUAGAUAUGAAAAGCUUGGUAGUUCUCUUCUAUUUACUAUAGAACAAAUGGAGUUUUUGAAAACAUUAUUUUCCCAAUCCAAGGUCUCUAAGGACCUUGAACCUACAAUCUUUUAUGUUGCGGUCUUAGUUGCUCAACGAGGUAAAUUUCACUUAUCCUUGUUAUCUCAUCGAAAUUCUGAAAAUGUGUGGAUUAUAGAUUUAGGACCUUCAAAUCACCUGACCAGUUGUUCCUCCCUAUUUUCUACCUAUAAGAAGUGUGUUGUGAUAACGCCAAAGUUGCAGUAGUGGAUGGUAGUUUAACUAGUAUAGUUGGUAGAGGAGAUAUUAAACUAUCAAGAUUAACUUUUUUGUAGUUUUGCAUGUUCCUAACAUUAAUUGCAAUAUGAUAUAUGUUGGCAAGUUGACUAGAGAUAUACAUUGUGUAGUUAAGUUCUCCCCUUCUUCAUGUGUUUUUUAGGACUUGUUUUUGGGGAGGAUCAUUGGCAAUGUUGAAGGAAAAAAUGGUCUCUACUUCUUGUCCGGUCCCACUCCUCAUAGAUCCCUUAAUUAUAUUUUUAUGUCCCAGUUCUAUUGUGAUGUCAUGUUGUGGCACAAGCAAUUAGUACAUCCUAGCUUUGUUUACUUGAAAUCCUUGUACCCCAAAUUAUUUGGAAAUAAAGACAUUCGUUCUUUUAAAUGUGAACAUUGUGUUCUUGCCAAACAUAUCUCUCAUCCUUCUCACAUAUAUACACCUUCUAAACCAUUUCAUCUUGUUCACAAUGAUAUUUGGGGAUCAGCUUGAGUUCCAACCUUAAUCGUUACUUGUUGGUUUAUUAUCUUUAUUGAUGAUCACUCAACGGUUUAUCUAAUGAAAGACAAGUUUGAAGCCAGUUCAAUUUUCUUUCGGUUUUAUAAACUUGUACAAAAUUUGUUCCAAUCUUCUAUUCAUAUUCUCAGAUCUGAUAAUGGGAGGGAAUACUUUGGCCCAUAAUUCACCCAAUACUGUUGAAUUAAACUUACCAGUUUAGGCGAGUUUAGAUGAUUUAAUCUCUCACAAAACUCUUCCACACUCUUGAAUUAAUCAGUAAUCAUAUAUUGAACAAUAUAGAAAGUAAAGAAAUCACAAUUCAAGAUAUAAAGUAGAAAGAUCAAACCACGAGACACUGAUUUUAUCUUAGUUUGGAUCGCAAGAAUUGCAACCCUACAUCCAACAGUCAAAACACUCCCUUGAGCAGCUUUCUUAUUCCGUUUGUGCAGUCAGUAUAUAGCCAGUUCCCUCCCUCCUAUUCUCGAGUACAUCAAGCCUUCAUUCCCUCAUGAUUACAAAGUUAUCUGACAAUCACUAGCCUUUCUCUCUUGGAACAACAAUACUCGUUACUAUAGAAAUGAGAACUCUUUUGUGUCUCUCUUGGCUACCCAUAAAUAGAGGGCGAACAUCCCAAUAUAACCGAUUGGGAUAAAACAAUUACAAUUUAACCCCUAAAUAUACACUAAUAACAUUUAGGUAUUGUUUCUAACUGUCCAUUUACACACUGGCCGAUAAAGUCACUGCUGUCUUCACUAAUCUUCUAGGAUGACUUGAGGCAAACAUAUCAACAAAUACCUUUCUGAUCAAGGUAUUUUUCAUCAAAACACUUGCCUUUACACCCCACAACAAAAUGGGGUAGCCAAAAGAAAAAAAAGCAAACACCUUGAAGUUGCUAGGUCCAUGAUGUUUUCUAGCAAUGUUCCUAACUCUUUAUGGGGGAAAGUUGUUUUGACCGUUGUACACCUCAUCAAUAGGCUUCCAUCUAAACCCUUUGAUUUCAAAACCCCGUUGAGCUGUUUGAUGACCAUUUUUCGUCACUUUCGCAUUCUUAAUUCUCUCACCCCAAUGGUUUUUGGCUGCACUACUUUUGUUAAUAUUGUAUCCUUACAUCGCAGUAAACUAGAUCUAAAAAGCCUCAAGUGUGUAUUUGUUGGCUAUUCCCCAACACAGCUAGGGUACAAAUGUCAUUCUCCUAUAGCUAAAUGAUUUUGUGUCUCAUGAUGUUUCCUUUCCUGAACAUUAACCCUACCAUUCCCCUACUUCUAUUCAGGGGGAGAUAUCUACAGAAGAGAAGUAUUGGGGUCCGUCCAUAUCUCUUCCUAUUGUUCUACCUGUUGUUCCUUCUCGAUCUGUUCAACCUAUUGAUUCUUUUAAAUCUGCAUUUGGGAAUGUCCAAGAAUUGUGUGCAGAGGGAGCAGAAAAAUUUGAAUCUAUUAUUGAUCUACCUCAACAUCCUUUAUCUAUUGAUCAGCCUCUUAACGUUUAUUCUAGAAGACCUAAAAUUAUUCUCAAAUCCAAUCGUUCGAACUGAAUUCAGGUUCUAAUUUGGAAGAAACGACACCUAUGGAUGACCUCCUUGAUGUGCCUAUUGUUAAUAAGGGAGUGAGUAAUGUCUUGUACUAAACAUCCUAUCUCAAAUUAUCUUAGUUAUGCUAAAAUAUCUCCAAAGUGUAGGGCAUUCACUGCUUCAGUUGAUAAUGUGGAAAUCCCUACAAAUAUCUAGAAGGCUUUGGAGAAUCAUAAGUGGAAAGAGGGUGUGUUAGAGGAAAUAAAGGUUGGUUGACAAUCAAACUUGGGACAUUGUGGAGCUACCUGAAGACAAGAAAAUAGUUAGCUGCAAGUGGAUAUUUACUGUGAAGUAUAAUGCUAAUGGCAGAAUUGAGAGGUGCAAGGCAAAGUUGGUUGCACAAGGUUUUACACAAACCUAUUGUGUAUACUAUGAAAAGACUUUUUCCCUUGUAGCUAAGUUGAACUCAAUUAGAGUGUUAUUAUCUAUUGCUGCAAAUUUGGAUUGGGAAGUUCAUUAGUUGGACAUAAAGAAUGCCUUCUUGAAUGGAAGGUUGGAAGAAAAAGUUUACAUGCAAAUCCCACCUGGGUUUGUAUUAGCUGAAAAUCUAGGUAAAGUAUGCAAACUGAAGAAAGUCAACUAGGGCAUGGUUUAUAAAAUUUCAGGGCAUGGUAUCAACAAGGACAAGUUGAUCACACCUUGUUUAUCAAGCAAACAAAAAAUAGGAGAAAAUCUAUUCUAAUAGUAUAUUUGGAUAUAAUUCUUACCGGUGAUGACGUUGGAAUUUAAUAGCUAAAUGAGUGUCUAUAAGCUGAGUUUAAAGUUAAAGACCUUGGAACACUUGACUAUUACCUUGGCAUGGGAAUAGUAAGGAGUAGAGGAAAUAUACUCUAGACCUUCAAACUAGGAAAAUAGGUUGUAGACCUGCAAGCACUCAUUUGGAACAAAAUUGGAAAUCAAGGAGCACAAAAACAAAUCAUCUAGUGGAUAAGGCUAGAUACCAAAGAUUGGUAGGUACGUUGAUCUAUCUUUCUCUCAUAAGACCAGAUAUUGCCUUUAGUGUGAGUGUUAUAAGUCAGUUUAUGCAUGCUCCUACACAAAAGGUACAUCAGGUAAGGGUUUAUUGUUCAUAAAAUGUGACAAAUCGAAAAAUUGGAUGCUAUGCUGAUGCAGAUUGGGUAGGAUUAGUGGAAGACAAUAAGUCUAUUAUAGGUUACUUCACCAAGUUAUGGGGUAACCUAGUCACUUGGAGGAGCAAAAAACAGUUAGUGGUGGCUAGAAGCAAUGCCGAAAUAGAAUAUAAAGCAAUUGUUCAAGGAAUAUGUGAAUUAAUUUGGUUGGAAAGACUAUUACAAGACUUAGAGAUUGUUAAAGACGAAAGAGAUACAAAAAUACCUCAAUCAUAGUUAUCAAAGGCGCGCCUAGGCGCAAGGCGCCUUAAGGCGCCAGUUUGGCGCCUCACCUGGGCCUAGGCGAGGCGGUUUUGGCAAGGCCCUCACCUUGCGCGCCUAGGCGCUGGGGCGUGAGGCGCGCCUCAUGAAACUGAGGUCUUCUACUAAAUCUUGCAGCCCAAUCGCGCUUGCCUCUCCUCCCGACUGCAUCCAGCCGCGCUUGCCUCUCCUCUCCAGCUCGCUGCUCGCUCCUUACUCCUCCCGACUAUAGCAUCUGCCGCACUUGCCUCUCCUCUCCAGCUCGCUGCUCGCUUGCCUGAUCUUCCUCUUCCUCUCUAGCCCCAGUCGCGCCUGCCUCCUCUCUUCUCUCCAGCUCGCCCUCGCCCGAUCUUCUUCUUCCUCUCCUCUCUAGCUGCGACCCCCUCCUCUCUUCCUCUCCAGCUCGCCCGAUCUUCCUCUUCCUCUCUAGCCCCAGCCGCGCCUGCCUCCUCUCUUCCUCUUCUCUCCAGCUCGCCCUCGCCCGAUCUUCUUCUUCCUCUCCUCUCCAGCUGUGACCCCCUCCUCUCUUCCUCUCCAGCUCGCUCGAUCUUCCUCUUUCUCUCUAGCCCUAGCCGCGCCUGCCUCCUCUCUUCCUCUCCUCUCCUGCUCGUUGCUUGCUCGAUCUUCCUCUUCCUCUCUAGCCCCAGUCGCGCCUGCCUCCUCUCUUCCUCUCCUCUCCAGCCGCGACCCCUUGAUCUUCCUCUUCCUUUCCUCUCCACUCUCCAGCAGCGCCUGCCUCCUCUCCAGUCUCUGCCCAUGGUCUUCUCCUCUCUUCCUCACCUUUCUUCUCAUCUGCUCUUGAGCUCUUCAAGUUGAAGCUGCUAAGGGCCUAAGGCUGCCCACGUCUUCUCCUAUAUUCAUAAUUUCAUAUUGUAAGUUCUUUACUUGUAUUUUAUUUGUUUAUUUCUUGCAUUUUUGCCUAAUUUAUUUUGCUGGCAGCUGGUUGCUGAAAUUUGCUUUAACUCUUUAUAGUUUAUUUCUAUCAUUAGGAGAAUUUUGUGGAAAUUGGAACUGUGUUGCAACAGCCCAAUAAAUGUCGUCAACCACUUCCAAAACGCACCCGGCAUGGAAUUAUUUUGAAGCUGAUCCUAAUGAUAGAAAUACCACCACAUGUAAAUUUUGUUGUAAAGUAACUUUGAUGUUGUUAGUUUAUAGAAUUUGAAGAUAAUGAAUCAUGAAUGAUAUGAAUGUGUUAUUAUUGAUAAUUUGAUAGUUGUUUAUGAUUUUACAAGAUUUUGAGUUUUUUUCCUAAAAGGUGCGCCUUGCUUCGCAAAGGCACGCCUUUCAGAACUAUGACCUCAAUUGAUUGAAUGUUGGCAAUGAAUUGCCAACAGAGAAGGCAGAGAAUAUAAAUACAAAAUAGAGUAAAGUUAAAGCUCGGAUAACCAAGUCUGAACAUAAUGCCAACAACCCAUACUAUAUAAACCAAUACAAGAAUAGAAUAUAAAAAUCACUAUAUGCUAAUACUCCCCCUCAAGAAGGAUUGUGAAUAUCCAAAACAACCAUCUUGGACAAUAGAUGAGACACUUGAGGAGUUGGUAAAGGCUUGGUAAAUAAGUCGGCGAAUUGAUGUAUAGAACGAAUGGGCAGCAACUUGAAGACACCAGCUUCUAGCUUAUCUUGAACAAAAUGACAAUCCAACUCGAUGUGCUUGGUUCGUUCAUGAAAAAUUGGGUUGGAUGCAAUGUGAAUUGCAGCCUGAUUAUCACAAAAUAAGAGAGCAGGAAUGAUAGGAGAAACUUGCAAAUCGGCAAGAAGCUGAUGUAGCCAUACAGUCUCACUAGUUGUAGCAGCAAGGGCCCGGUACUCGGCCUCUGCAGAAGAACGAGAUACGGUACUUUACUUCUUAGCCCUCCAAGAAAUCAAAGAAUCACCAAGGAAUACGCAAAAGCCAGUGAUAGAACACCUAGUAUCUAGACAAGAGCCCUAAUCAACAUUUGAGAAUGCCUUGAUUUGCAAAGAAGAAGCAGAGAAGAACAAUCCUUGUCUAGGAGAAGUUUUAAGAUAUCUCAAUAAAUGGUGGAUUGCAUCAAGAUGCGGCUUUCUAGGCUUAGAAACAUAUUGGCUAAGCUUAUGAACAACAUAAGUGAUAUUAGGGAGAGAGAUAGUAAGAUAAAGCAAGCGACUAAUUAGUCAUCUAUAGGUAGAGACAUCCUCAACCAAAACACCCUCAGUGGAACUCAAUUUAACAUUGGGAAUCAUAGGAACCAUAGCUGGUUUGCUAGAUAAGAAACCUGUGUCCUCAAGAGGCUGUAAGGUAUAGUGUCGUUGAGACAAGAAAAUACUUUUAGAGGAGUGAGCGAUCUCAAGGCCAUUGAAAUACCUUAGACACCCAAGGUCUUUAAGUUUGAACUGACCAUGAAGAAACCUUUUAAGAGAGGCUAUAAUAGCAACAUCUGAACCUGUGAUAAUGAUGUCAUCAACAUAGACAAGCAAAACCACAAAAGGGGAACCACUACCCUUAGUAAAGAGGGAAUAGUCAAAUUUGGACCGGAGAAAACCAUAUUUAAGCAGGGUAUUAGAAAACUUGGCAAUCCAUUGCUAGGAAGCCUGCUUCAACCCAUAGAUAGAUUUAUGGAGUUUGCACACCAUUCUCUCCCCCUGAGAAGGAGCAGCAACCCUAGGCUGAUGCCCAAGUGGAAGGUCAUAUAUACUUCCUCAAAAAUAUCUCCAUUGAGGAAAGCGUUAUUGACAUUAAGUUGGACAAGAGGCCAAUUAUGAACAAUAGCUAAAACUAAGAGAACCUUGACUGUAACUAGCUUAGCUACUGGGGAAAAAGUGUUAAAAGAAGUCCAAGCCCUCUUGUUGAGUGUACCCCUUAGCCAUUAUACGAGCUUUAUGUCUCUCUAUGGAACCAUCUAACUUAUACUUGAUCUUGUACCCCUUAGCCAUUAUACGAGCUUUAUGUCUCUCUAUGAAACCAUCUAACUUAUACUUGAUCUUAUACACUCACUUCCAUCCAAUAGCAUGCUUGUCCCAAGGCAAAGUAGUGACAGACCAAAUGUUAUUCAAGUGCAUGGAAUCCCUCCUGUGAGCAUAGUGCACUGCAUGAUAAUAGAACUGAGGCUCAAAAUUGGAAGAAACUUUGAGAAGGAAAUGUCUGUGAGAAGGAGAUAAUGUAGAAUAAGAAAUAUAAUGGUCCAAGGGAUAGGAGGAUGUUGUAGGAGGGGCUAGUGUUUGGGUUAACAAAUGACAAUGAAAAUCUUGAAGAUAAGAGGAGGCCUAGUGACCCGAGUGGACCUGCGAAAUGAUGGUUUAGAAACAUUAGUGCCAGGAACAUAAUUGGUAAGAGGCUCAAGCAGAGAAGUAGAGCCAGAUGCAAUUAGAGUAGGGGAAGGCACAUCAAGAUUGGGCUGGGGCAUAACCAAAUCAAGAAAAUGAUCCACAACCUCAUGGGAGGAAACAAUAGCAUGAAAAGGAAAGACACCUUCAUGAAAUACAAUAUCCCGAGAAAUAAGGAACUUCUUGGCGGCUAUAUCAUAGAGUUUGUAGCCUUUCACACCAGGGGGAUAACCAAGAAAUACACAAGCAGUGGCUCUAGGAGAAAAUUUGGAUCUAUAGGAAGGCAAGGUAGAAGCAAAACAAAGACAACUAAACACCCUAAAAGAUGAGUAAUCCACUAGUGAAUGGUAGAGAAACUGAUAAGGAGAUUGGUUUUUCAAAAAAGAAGCAGGAGUCCUAUUUAUUAAGAAUGCUACUGUGAGGAUGCAUUCACCCCAAAAUUGAAUAGCAACUCGAGAUUGGAAAAACAAUGCCAUAGCUACAGUAAGGAGGUGCUGAUGCUUACGUUCUGUCACCGAAUUUUGUUAAGGCCUUUCUACACAAGAAAAUUGAUAAACUACCCUUUUGGCACUAAAGUAAUCAUGAAAAUGCAAUUCAGGUGCAUUGUCUAACCUAAACUUCUUCACCCUUGUAUUAAAUUGUGUCUCAACCAUAGAGAAAUAUUUAGGAAUAAUGUCCCUAGCUUUUGACUUCUGCCUCAUCAAGAAUACCCAAGUAAAACGUGUACAAUCAACUAAUGUAAAAAAAUACUUAUAACCAACAUGAGUAGGCACAUGAUAUGGGCCCCACUUAUCAAAGUGAAUUAAGUCAAAAGCAUGCUGAGAAAGAUGGUUAUUAGAGACUGUUAUUGUUUUGCCCAAGUUGUAGUGUGCUGGAGUUUUGGAAGAAAUCAAGAAGGAAUAGAGGUGAUCGGUGGCAGUUAGUUUGCAGGAUCUAAAUGUAACUAAUUAUAAUUAAUAAGGCUAGUUUAGACUUUAUGUAAGUCGGUUAUUUCCCUUAGAAAGUUCCGCCUCUCUAGUUUAUAAAUAGAAGGGUGUGGAGGCCAGAUAUGAUCAUCAAUCAUUUAUCAUCUCAUUCCCUUGUGUUCAAAUGCAAUGAGAAGCGAGAGAGAGAGAGAGUUGUGAUAAGAUAGUUCUUGUAGUCUUCAUUUAGAGGAUUGUAUUCGAGAGGCAAGAGGAGGCAAGAGAGGGAUAUUCUUGUACUGUAUUUCUACGUUCAUAGUGGAUUGUUCUCUUCUUGGAGUGCUGGAUGUAGUGCCAUGUUUAUGGCAUGAACCAGGGUAAAAUUGGUGUAUUGCAUUGUGGUUUGCUUUCUGUUCUCUUUUCAAUUCUAUUUCUUAUCUGUUUUCUGCUUUAUACUUGACUUGUAUUUGAUUUCGGUGUGAGUAUUGAGUGAUUCUUGAGACAUAUUAGUGCUCGGUUUUAACAGAGACAAAUGACAAUCUCCUUUGCUUAGCUAAGGGACAUAUAGAACAAGGUACAGUUUCAUCAUCCUUAUAUCUCAACAAAGUUUUUAGUUUGUCCAGCUUUUGAAAGAAAACAUGACCAAGCCUACUAUGCCAAGUAUGCUUACUUACAACAUGAGCCACAAUGGCAUUAGAAUUAGAAGUACAAGUCAAAGCACUUACAAGCCUCCGUGAAGACUAACCCUGCCAAUCAUCUUUGAAAGAUAGACAACUUGGAUAUCACAUGAAUUAGAGAAGAUACUGAGGCUUAGAUUAUUCCUUUUCACUAGUGCACUCAUAGAAAUCAAAUUAAACUUGAAUUGAGGCACAUACAAAACAUUUUCUAACACCAUAUAAUCACUUAAUCUCACAAUCCCUAUACAAGUUACAGACAACCGAGAUUGGUCUAGGAGAGUAGCAAAGACAUCCUUAACAGGUCUCAGCUCAUGAAAGUAGGAUUUACUAAAGCAAACAUGGCUUGUAGCUCCUGAAUCUAUUAUCCAAUACUUUGAAUGACCAAGUAAGGGACUAAUCGAAACUGAAAAACAUAUACUUGAUGGGAGCAUUAGAUUCUGCCCUAGCCUUUGCUGCACCAAGGUGUGAUUAUGCAACAUACUCAAUAGCUAUUGAUACUGUGUAGGGCUCAAGGAUUGCAUGAAUUCCCCCAUGCCUUGAGUACUUGUAGUACCCUCAAAGACUUGACUCGCAAUAUUGGAGCUUAAGUGAUUAGUAGAAUUCAAGAGAUUAAGUCCAUUAGGAUUCUUCUGUUUAACCUUUUACCCUAGGGGAUAGCCAUGUAGUUUAUAGCAUUUCUCAGUAGUAUGACCAUGAUAUCCACAGUGUGUGCAUAUCGGCCUGCCUAUCUCUUUUCUAAAACCUAUCGAGGCUAGUCUUAUUCAUGCCAUGCUUAACAUUGAACAGAACAAGAUCUCCCGUAUUGACCACCACAUUUCGUUGUUUUUCCUCUUGCGAGAUUAAGGCAAAAACUUUGUUAAUGGGGGGAAGAGGUUCUAUCAAUAACAACUGACCUCUCACUUGAGCAAAAGAAUCAUUUAACCCCAUUAAAAAUGACAUGACAUAUUCCAUUUGGUGGUGGUCUGCAAGAGCCCUAAUACCACCACAAGUACAACUGCCACAAUUACAUGUAGGCCUAAAUUUCCAAGUUCAUCCCAAAUAGUCUUAAGCUUGGUAAAAUAUGCAUUUAUAGACAAAGAACCUUGAGUAAGGUUCAUCAAUUCUCACCUCAAUUGGAAGAUCCUAGGGCCAUUGCUUUGCUAAUAGCGUUCCUUGAGUUCAAUCCAUAUGUCUCAUGCUGAUUCAAAGUAAAUGACACUGGUUGAGAUCUUUUUAGACACAUAAUUAAAAAUCUAUGAAAUAACCAUGUUAUUAUUUCUAAUCUAAGCAUUGAGAAGGAAAUCAUCACCUGAAAGAUGCUAGAUCGAGCCAUCUAUAAACCCUUACUUGUUCUUGACAGAUAAGGCGAUCAUCAUUGAAUGGCUCCAAGAGGCGUAAUUAUCCCCUGUCAAUGACUAAGAGACCAAAAGAAGGCCUGGACUAUCAGAAUGAUGCAAAAAGAAGGGACUUGAUCCAUCGUUGACUUCGGUAUUGCUCAUCGACCAUGUUAUACCUAGGGUCGCUGGAACUACUUUUUUGGAUAGGAAUUCUAUCACACAUGAUCUCACACACUCACGGAUUAGAUCUUAGGAACAUAUUUAAUAGAAUCAACAGAAAAUAUAAACAGAAACACAAUUAAAACAAACAAGAAACACAAACCACACAUCCACAAGGACACUGAGAUUAUCUUGGUUCAUGUCAAUUGAAUUGGCACUAUAUUCAGCCUUAAGAACCCUCCAAGAGCAGCCUUCUUUGAUUCAUAAAGAAUGAUCGAACAUCAGUUGCACCCCCUCGAUUACAAGCCUUCUCUCAAGAUUACAAAAGCUAUUCUAAAACACAACUUCCCCUCUCUCAAAGCUUUCUCGAGAAACAACUGAAAUUAUAUGCGCCUAAUGCCUAGCCCUCCUCCUUAUUUAUAGAAUAUAUAAGGCGGCAAUUCCUAGGCUUUUAAACAACUGGAUAUUACUGGUUUUACCCCUCCACUAAUAACUAAUAUUACAAGCAGGGACCCGCCUAUUUAUACCCUCUAAUUUUGAUGCAUUCUUACUGCCUAUAUUCUGGAUUUUUUUUCAAGACAACAUUCUAACAGACGAGGAGGAUAAAUUCAGAUUUACUGUCGCCAUUGAACAAAAAUGGGCGAACUGAUAGAAAGAGGAAUGGCACGCUUCGAACAAAGAAGCGUGCUGUGCGAUCCGUUCGCUCACUGAGAACCUACCGGCAAGAUCAAAACGAGACAGCGGAAAAGAUGAGAGCUUAGUGCUCUGUUACCAUGUUAAAGACAAGAGAUACAAAAAUACCUCAAUUGAUUGAAUGAAUGGCCAACAGAAAUUAGCUAUCAGUAUAGUUCACAAUCCAAUUCAAUGUGAUAGGAUGAAACAUGUAAGGAUUGACAGAAAUUUCAUCAAAACUGAAAUUUAAAAAGCAGCAGUUCCCUCUCAUACAUUCCUACUCAAGUUCAAGAGGCUGAUAUCCUAACUAAUGUAAUGUUGAAAUCAGGUUUUGAAGUAUUGAUUAGCAAGUUAGGAAUAAUUGAUAUCUAUUCACCAGCUUUUGGGGGAGUGUUGAAAUGCCAGGAAUUAAGGAUAAUUGAUAUGGUGUAUAUUAAACAAGAUUGCUGCUGUAAAUUGUGGAUUGAUAGAUGUAAUUAUAGGGAUUGUUCAAAGUCAAAACUUUCUAUUUCUAGGAUUGUUGUACAUUCUAGAUGGUACGAUUGUAGAUCUUUUGUCUAUAUAUUUCUGUACAGAAAAUUAGUUUGUCUGAAUGAAAGCAUUCUUUCAUCCAAAAAUACUUUCUGUUCACAAGGUGAUUUGGAUAACCAAGCAUAAUCCAUGUCUUGAGGUAGCUCAAAUAGUUUCCUACUUUCUUGAACCUAGAAAUGGGUCAAUCAUUCUUGGAUAAUCUGUUUGACAAAAUUCACACAAUGCACUAGAGAUCAGCUCUAUACACAAAAACUCCCAACCAAGUUUGCUCAAGGCCAACAUUAAUCAAUCUUUGGAGGGCAUUCUUCAUUGGAUCAGGCUGCAGCAGGUCCAGGAAUCCCAUCCCUGGGAUAGUGACACACUUGUGAGUUGGAGAUAGAGAUCAAAGUUUCAUCAAGGGCCAUGGCACUUGGUCCUCUAUCUAAUGUAUCCUCUGAUUCCUCACCAUCACCAGUUGGAAGAGAUAAAGAUAGAGCCCAGAAACAGGGAGGUAGAUAAUGAACUUAUAUGCAAAAUGGUAGCCUAGCUCAAAGCACCUCCUACCACUUAUGGCAUAUGAGGGUACAGUGUGACCACAUGACACUGAGUUUGAUGCCUUUGCUGAAACCUCAUAGCAGUUUGUGAAGUCUAAUUUUGUCCUUUUUGGAAUUGCCACACAUUCACCAUGAUAUCCUGAUCAUAGUUACACUUACAUUUUGCAUGUAUUGAUACUUCAUUUAACAUCUAUGCCAUAAAAAUAGGGGAAGAUAUGUGAUCUGGGAAUUAAGGGGCAAACAGUUUCAUGGUUUUGUUGGCGGACACCUUGCUAAGGGACAUUUACCCAGUGCCUUCUUUAGUUGAUUCCCUUUGAUGGAAGGGGUCUUUGGGAGAUUCUGAUAUCAUUUGUAUUUAUUCUAAUGUAUUUCAAGGACAAGCAUGGAUUGAUGCAUUUGCCAGGAAUAAUAUCCCUGCAUAGCUGUGGCUUGUAGGUGAUUGCAGAUAUUAAGGGUUUAAUCUAUAUGGUUAGGUCUAAUAUGACCCUUCAUUGGGGAGGUUCCUCAUUACCAAAAUCAUGUGGAAGUGCCAAAUUGAGCACUAUUUCCUAGUAAUUUGCAUUUGCUUUUGUCCACAAAAGUAGUAGUUUUAUACAGUUGAGAAGUCUCAUCUCCUUAGCUCUUUUCCAUGGAUGUUGGCAUCAGAGUUACUUUUCUAGAAGGCUUAUGAUAUUAUCUAGAAACUAUAAAUAUUGUGUGCGAGCAAAUCCGAGAUAGAACUCCAACAUGAAAUGCCAGUUUGACAGGUGGAUGGAUCCUCCUCUUUAUAUAUAGCCUAGGUCUCCCUUGCUGAGGCGAUGUGGGAUUUUCACACACAUCCCCCCCCCCCUUCCCUUUUCAACGUCGAAGCAUCUUCCAGUACCUGGUACAUGCCUGUAUAAGACGGCAACAUGACCGUAUAUGAUGGCAGGGUAGGGUCGGCUCUGAUACCAUGUGAACAAGUCAGAGGUAGAAUUUCAACUUGAAAAGCCAGCUUGACAGGUAGAGGGAUCCUCCUCCUUAUAUAUAACCCAGAUCUCCCUUGCUGAGGCGAUUCUCACAAUGGUUGCAACUGACUUGGCCUCGAUGGCGAAUAGGUUAAUGAUGUGACCUGGAAUUGUGAAGGGGUUUGAUAUUGAUGCUUAUCUAUCUGUUUAUUAAGCAGCUUGUUCCCUGGAAACAUUUUUAGUUGGUGAAUGACUUGUAAAAGUUCCAUUUUCUUCCC